rnacentral:rRNA from 1 species
UGGGGAAUAUUGGACAAUGGGCGAAAGCCUGAUCCAGCCAUGCCGCGUGUGUGAAGAAGGUCUUCGGAUUGUAAAGCACUUUAAGUUGGGAGGAAGGGCAGUAAGCGAAUACCUUGCUGUUUUGACGUUACCGACAGAAUAAGCACCGGCUAACUCUGUGCCAGCAGCCGCGGUAAUACAGAGGGUGCAAGCGUUAAUCGGAAUUACUGGGCGUAAAGCGCGCGUAGGUGGUUCGUUAAGUUGAAUGUGAAAGCCCCGGGCUCAACCUGGGAACUGCAUCCAAAACUGGCGAGCUAGAGUAGGGCAGAGGGUGGUGGAAUUUCCUGUGUAGCGGUGAAAUGCGUAGGUAUAGGAAGGAACACCAGUGGCGAAGGCGACCACCUGGGCUCAUACUGACACUGAGGUGCGAAAGCGUGGGGAGCAAACAGG